ensembl:lncRNA
CGAGAGCCUCAGGGCCUCAGGGUGACUCACCCUCUUGCCAUUUCCUUUGUGCGGCUCGCCGGCUCCUUGCUGGAAGCCGGCUCACGGCUGCGGGUGGGCAGGGAGGCGGGGAGAGGGCGCGGGAGGAGGGCGCUUUUCACACGACAGGGGCCACCCUCUAGCCGCCACCCCUACCCCCAUGCCGAGAGGGAUGACAAAAGGCAGAGCCCCCGCCUAGGGAGGCGGGGAGUCCUGAUCGGUGUUCCUUGGCCCCCUGAACCAAUACAGCUUUCAGAAUAAUGAAAACUGGCCAGGGAGGGGAAGGUAUGGGUGUCCUGGGGAGCCCCGUGGGCUGCCGGCCUCCUGGCGGCUCCUCGGUCCCAGCCCAGAGGCUCUGAGGGCAGCAUCAGGACCUGCCGGCGCUGGAAGCCGCCUCCCUGGCCCAGGCUCAGGGCUCGCGCUGGCGCGUGGCCAGAGGCAGCCGCCACCUACGUAAGAGUAAAGGAUGCCAAAGAGCAAGGCCCGGGAGCCUGGGACGUGUUCCUCCGAAGGCUAACUGCGUGACCUCCGGCAAGUGUUAGCGAUGGAAUUUCAGACAUCUCUCCCAGCAGGACACGUUAGCCCGAAAGAGCAAUGUACUUCAGAGGAAACAAACUUCUUACCACCAUUAUCCAUCUCAGAAGAGAGGAUGGCCCAAAGCCCUGGUGUGCAGACAGCAGCUGUACUGGGCGCCCCAGCCCUUGGUAAGCCUGCUCCAGACUCAAGAUCUGCAGGCAAGCCUCGUUCCAGAGCCAAGGACCUCCACUGAGCAGGAAGUUCCCUGACCUCUCAGAAUUUAUCCCUGGAGAAGAAAGGAAAGAUUCAUCCCAGAAGGAAGUCUGCAUGCAUCAGUCAGUGUGGUGCAUCCUCCAUAGGCGCCUGGAGAGAAACGGUGUUUUAAGAGCCCAGGUCUAGAGACGGGAGUUGGGAGGCAGUACUAGCCUGGCUUUGAUGUAACCAGAUCUCAGACCUUAGGCAAGUUCCUCCUCAUCUGUAUAACGUGGGGGCCAGCCUGGAUUAUCUUUAAUGCCUUUGCAAGACGGACACUCAGAAGUCAUAAGGACACAUACCAGACCAGUGGCCCUGCAUUCAAAAACCUUCACACAUUUUGUCUCCACAGUUAGAAGUCGUAUAGGGACUUCCCUGGUGGUCCAGUUGUUCAGACUCCAAGUUUCCACUGCAGGAGGCAUGGAUUGGAUUUGAUCUCUGGUUGGGGAACUAAGAUCCCACAUGUUGCUCAGCGGGGCCAAAUAAUUUUUUUUUUUUAAUGAAGUGGUGCCAGAAUUGUGCUGAUAUCAAAUAGUUUUGGUCAUCCAAAGUUUUCAUGAAGAGCCUCC